CACGUAGGGGGCAAGCGUUGUCCGGAUUUAUUGGGCGUAAAGAGCUCGUAGGCGGCUCGGCAAGUCGGGUGUGAAACCUCCAGGCUCAACCUGGAGACGCCACUCGAUACUGCUGUGGCUAGAGUCCAGUAGGGGAGCGUGGAAUUCCUGGUGUAGCGGUGAAAUGCGCAGAUAUCAGGAGGAACACCAGCGGCGAAGGCGGCGCUCUGGGCUGGAACUGACGCUGAGGAGCGAAAGCGUGGGGAGCAAACAGG
rnacentral:rRNA from 1 species